UAGAUGGCGUUGCUCUUACCGGCGCAGAA
rnacentral:sRNA from 1 species